ACGUAUGGAGCAAGCGUUAUCCGGAUUUACUGGGUGUAAAGGGAGUGUAGGUGGCCAUGCAAGUCAGAAGUGAAAAUCCGGGGCUCAACCCCGGAACUGCUUUUGAAACUGUGAGGCUAGAGUGCAGGAGGGGUGAGUGGAAUUCCUAGUGUAGCGGUGAAAUGCGUAGAUAUUAGGAGGAACACCAGUGGCGAAGGCGGCUCACUGGACUGUAACUGACACUGAGGCUCGAAAGCGUGGGGAGCAAACAG
rnacentral:rRNA from 1 species